AGGCUUUCGUUCCACCGGCACCACAUUUGCUCAGGCCAAUCUACACCCCAUGGCCAUUAAAAGUUAUUGAAAUCAUGACGCUGCACCCCACGGUUUAGGUUCUAGGGGGCGCCAAAGAUAACCCUAAAAUCCACAUAUUUAAAAGUCUUAUAACUUUUUAUUUUUGUCCUCACUGGCCUCCAUGUUUUCUAGGAUGAUGCAAUGUCCAGCCAUCAACACAUUUGUGAAGGAGUUUUUUCUCGUUAAAAGAGCGCCCCCCCAUGGCAGGAGAAUAAAGUCAAGUUUUUCCUGUUCAUCAUUCAAUGGCUCAAACGCACUGCUCUCUCGGCAAAAGCGAAAGGAGGAGCAACUUGCCAUUUGGAUAUAUCUUAGCUGUGUUUGUGCCCUCACUCAUGGUCCAGACUUUUUUCAAAUAGGACAUGGAGUUUUUCUGCAGCGAGCGUUUUGGUAGAAACUGCGCCUCCCGUUCAUUAUAAUGGUAAAUGACCACAAACAAGUGCGCACACCAUCUUUGGACCUUGAGUGUGACGCGAUCGGGUGGGGGAGGCGGUCGCGCUGGGGGCGGCGUGACACGGCUCGGGCCCGCCAGUGCCCCAACGGGGCCCUAGUUUCUUCUUUUUCCUCCCCUUUGAACUGGAAAAUGGCCCACUUCCCACUGGCGAAAACUCAUGAAAUUUGGCAGGACGACCGGGCCUGGUGAAAAAUUCGAUAUUCUGAAGUCGCCCAAACAAUAAAAUGCAAAAUGGCUCCAUAGCGCCCCCUAAGGUGGAAAUUCACACUAUUGACUGUCACGCCUGUACGCUUUGUCAUAUUGACACAAAAAUUGACACACAUAUGUAUCUCAAUAAGAUCUACAAAAAAGUCAGUGCGGCCGUAUCUGUCAAAUGUACGGUUAAAGGGUUAUUUCGCAUUUUUUUCCGAUCCGCACACAUUGGAAUUUCGCUAACUCCUCUGAAGGCUUUCGUUCCACCGGCACCACAUUUGCUCAGGCCAAUCUACACCCCGUGGCCAUUAAAAGUUAUCAAAAUCAUGACGCUGCACCCCAAGGUUUAGGUUCUAGGGGGCGCCAAAGAUAACACUAAAAUCCACAUAUUUAAAAGUCUUAUAACUUUUUAUUUUUGUCCUCACUGGCCUCCAAGUUUUCUAGGAUGAUGCAAUGUCCAGCCAUCAACACAUUUGUGAAGGAAUUUUUACUCCCCAAAAGAGCGCCCCCCCAUGGCAGGAGAAAAAAGUCCAUUUUUUCUUGUCCCCUAAGGUGAAAAUACACAUUGUUGAGUGUCACGCCUAUACGCUUUGUCAAAAUGACACAAAAAUUGACACACACAUGUAACUCAAUAAGAUCUACGAAAAAGUCAAUGCGCGCGUAUCUGUCAAAUGUACGGUUAAAGGGUUAUUCCGCAUUUUUUGCCGAUCCGCACACAUUGGAAUUUCGCUAACUCCUCCGAAGGCUUUCUGUCCACCGGCACCACAUUUGCUCAGGCCAAUCUACAGCCCAUGGCCAUUAAAAGUUAUCAAAAUCAUGACGCUGCACCCCACGGUUUAGGUUCUAGGGGGCGCCAAAGAUAACCCUAAAAUCCACAUAUUUAAAAGUCUUAUAACUUUUUAUUUUUGUCCUCACUGGCCUCCAAGUUUUCUAGGAUGAUGCAAUGUCAAGCCAUCAACACAUUUGUGAAGGAAUUUUUACUCCCCAAAAGAGCGCCCCCCCCAUGGCAGGAGAAAAAAGUCCAUUUUUUCUUGUCCCUUAAGGUGAAAAUACAUAUUGUUGAGAUUCACGCCUAUACGCUUUGUCAUAUUGACACAAAAUUUGACAAUCACGUGCCUUGCCUGGUAUCAUUUUUUUCAGCACAACCUCACCUGUGCGAAUUUACAGUUAUUUUAUCAUGUUGACAUACUGAAUUUACACAAUGGACCCAAAUUCACACACAAAACAUAAAAUCCGAGUGGAAAAAAGUAACAUUUUUACUGUGAAAACCACAAAUAUGUGUGAUGAACUGUUUUUAAAACUUAAACUUCAAAUAAAAAUUGUAAACUUCAAAACAUAUGCAAAUUUUUAACAAAGAACAUAGUGAUUUACCUCUAUUUACAUCAAAAUGCAGGCAAUGGCCCAGGCGUUCUUUGUAAAAUUAUUUACAAAACACUGUAUAGUCUCACAAAUGUCACUUUUUCUUUAUGCCACUACAAAAAAACAUGAUGUAAAUGAUGCAUGAUGUAAAACAUGAUGUAAAAAACUUGUGUAGAUCCUCCUCUAUGUCAGUCCAUGUGUAAUUUUUCCAUAAUUCUUUGUUUUUUGCAGCAUUUUUGUUAGUGUAACUGCAGAUUGUGCUGACAGUGUCUAUGGCACAAAAAAAAAAAAAAUAAAAUGCCUCAACAUGAACCCCUGGUGGUCUCUGAGGGUGAAACCUGCUAACUGCUGCAGCUCUGUCAGCUUCAGUCUCCCAUGCAGAGCUCUGAGCGCAUGUGUGGCUCUGCACCCUUAGCAGCGUUGCUAACUCCUCAGUAAGGAAAGCCUGCUUCAUGUCAGAGUCUCUAAACUCCAGAAGAAGUCGAUAAAAGUCCCUUUCUUUCUAAAAAAAAGUCGUUAGGGGGUCUGAAAAGUCAUUGAAUCUAACAACAAAGUCGCUAGGUUUGCAACUACGUGUCCCAGACUGCAUCCCUGCUGAGAGUCCCUCCCUCCCUUCUCAUGUUGCAGGAAGAACGUAAGCGCCCGCCCCUUGUCAAUCAGUCACCAUAUAAUUUUGGAUUGGUUGUUGUGGUGAAGUUUUCCACCAAUAGGAGAGAUGUUGUGGUGUGUUUUUUUUUUCUUUUGGCAAGCCUUUUCCGCCUGUAAGACCUGUCGCUAAUGUCUGCAUGCUAUGUUUUCCUGUCUCAUACAGCGCGAUCGAGCGCCCAACGUGAUCAAAAUAAGCAGAAAAAAAGUAUCGCGGACAUAAUUUAUCAUAACUCUGGUUUUAUUUGGCCUAUCAACACAAUUUAAAAACUGGUAUAUAGGUUGAGGUCCUCACUUUUGAGAUAAGUUGAAACGGAGAGUCAACGAGGCUCCGUCUUGCAGCUACAUCCGGUUAAAUAUGUCAUGUGACUUGAACGCACACACAGACACACACACACGCACACACACACACACACACACACACACACACACACUCAGAGUCUGGUUUUUAGCACCUGCAAAAACAUGCUAUUUACAUAUUUGACAAGAAUGCAGAGGCUCCUUUUGCCCCUGAAAAAAAUCAAAUUUCAAACACAACUUGACUGGUCAUUUCUCCAAAAGACAACCAUGAAGCUCCAUCCAAACCUGAAGCAGGCAGUUGGUGCAUGUGUACAGUAACCUGAGGGGAGUGAGGUGAGUGCUUCUGAGGAGAACAUGAGCAGUGAAGAUUCACCUUGGAGCUAGAACAGAGACAUGCACAUGAUUAUACAGGGGCAGGGGCUCAAGUUUUUUCCAGUCGUUUAUACAAUAUGGAAAUUAAUGUGAAAUUAAAACACAAAGUAUUAAUAGAAAGGUAAUGACUGUCCUGUGUAGGUGACAGUGAUAUCGAAUAGGCUAGGCACUCACGAGGCUGGCUGUGGCAAGUGUAAGUGAAAGCAACACGCACUGGCAGGAAGAACAGCAAACGCCGAUGAAGGAAAAGGGUCUUUGCAGUGAUGGGCGUUACCAGAGAGGGCGAUGGCCAGAGGACACAAAUGGGACGGGGAGGCAGCGCGUUGGGGGGGGGGGGGGGGGGGCGACACGGCUCGGGCCCGCCAGUGCCCCAACGGGGUCCUAGUUAGGGCCCGAGACAGCUGCAGAGCAGCCGGGCGUAGAGCCCUAUUAUUCCUGUAUAGGUUUUUCUUUCUUCUUUCUUUCUUUCUUUCUUUCUUUAGGGCCCGAGCGUAGCUGCUAAGCAGCUGCGAGAGCCCUCUUGUUCCUGAUGGAUUCUUCUUUUGUUAUUAUUAUUAUUUUUCCUCCGCUUUAAACUGGAAAAUGGCCCACUUCCCACUGGCGAAAACUCAUGAAAUUUGGCAGGACGACCGGGCCUGGUGAAAAAUUCGAUAUUCUGAAGUCGCCCAAACAAUAAAAUGCAAAAUGGCUCCAUAGCGCCCCCUAAGGUGAAAAUUCACACUAUUGACUGUCACGCCUGUACGCUUUGUCAUAUUGACACAAAAUUUGACACACACAUGUAUCUCAAUAAGAUCUACAAAAAAGUCAAUGCGGGCGUAUCUGUAAAAUGUACGGUUAAAGGGUUAUUUCGCAUUUUUUUUCCGAUCCGCACACAUUGGAAUUUCGCUAACUCCUCCGAAGGCUUUCGUUCCACCGGCACCACAUUUGCUCAGGCCAAUCUACACCCCAUGGCCAUUCAAAGUUGUACAAAUCAUGACGCUGCACCCCACGGUUUACGUUCUAGGGGGCGCCAAAGAUAACCCAAAAAUCCACAGUCUUAAAAGUCUUAUAACUUUUUAUUUUUGUCCACACUGGCCUCCAAGUUCUCUAGGAUGAUGCAAUGUCCAGCAAUUAACACAUUUGUGAAGGAAUUUUUACUCGCCAAAAGAGCGCCCCCCCAUGGCAGGAGAAAAAAGUCAAUUUUUUCUUGUCCCCUAAGACGAAAAUACACAUUGUUGAGUGUCAUGCCUGUACGCUUUGUCAUAUUGAAAAAAAAUUUGACACACACGUGUAUCUCAAUAAGAUCUACGAAAAAGUCAAUGCGCGCGUAUCUGUAAAAUGUACGGCUAAAGGGCUAUUUUGCAUUUUUUGCCGAUUCGCACACAUUGGAAUGUGGCUAACUCCUCCUAAGGCUUUCGUCCCACUGACACCAAAUUUGCUCAGGCCAAUCUACACCCCAUGGCCAUUAAAAGUUGUAAAAAUCAUGCCGCUGCACCCCAUGGUUUACGUUCUAGGGGGCGCCAAAGAUGACCCAAAUAUCCACAUUCUUAAAAGUCGUUUUGGCCACUGCAGGAGUACAGAGUACUGCAGGAUACACACACACAGACACACACACACACAGACACACAAACACACGCACACAAACACACGCACACACACACACACACACACACACACACACACACACACACUCAGAGUCUGUUUUUUAGCACCUGCAAAAACAUGCUAUUUACAUAUUUGACAAGAAUGCAGAGGCUUCCUUUUGCCCCUGAAAAAAAUCUAAUUUCUAACACAACUUGACUGCUCAUUUCUCCAAAAGACAACCAUGAAGCUCCAUCCAAACCUGAAGCAGGCAGUUGGUGCAUGUGUACAGUAACCUGAGGGGAGUGAGGUGAGUGCUUCUGAGGAGAACAUGAGCAGUGAAGAUUCACCUUGGAGCGAGAACAGGGACGUGCACAUGAUUAUACAGGGGCAGGGGCUCAAGUUUUUUCCAGUCGUUUAUACGAUAUGGAAAUUAAUGUGAAAUUAAAAAACAAAGUAUUAAUAGAAAGGUAAUGACUGUCCUGUGUAGGUGACAGUGAUAUCCAAUAGGCUAGGCACUCACGAGGCUGGCUGUGGCAAGUGUAAGUGAAAGCAACACGCACUGGCAGGAAGAACAGCAAACGCCGAUGAAGGAGAAGGGUCUUUGCAGUGAUGGGCGUUACCAGAGAGGACGAUGGCCAGAGGACGCGAAUGGGACGGGGAGGCAGCGCGUUGGGGGGGGGGCGCGACACAGCUCGGGCCCGCCAGUGCCCCAACGGGGCCCUAGUUCUUCUUAUUUUUCCUCCCCUUUGAAGGGGAAAAUGGCCCACUUCCCACUGGCGAAAACUCAUGAAAUUUGGCAGGACGAAUGGGCCUGGUGAAAAAUUCGAUAUUCUGAAGUCGCCCAAACAAUAAAAUGCAAAAUGGCUCCAUAGCGCCCCCUAAGGUGAAAAUUCACACUAUUGACUGUCACGCCUUUACGCUUUGUCAUAUUGACACAAAAAUUGACACACACAUGUAUCUCAAUAAGAUCUACAAAAAAGUCAGUGCGGGCGAAUCUGUCAAAUGUACGGUUAAAGGGUUAUUUCGCAUUUUUUGCCGAUCCGCACACAUUGGAAUUUCGCUAACUCCUCCGAAGGCUUUCGUUCCACCGGCACCACAUUUGCUCAGGCCAAUCUACACCCCAUGGCCAUUAAAAGUUGUACAAAUCAUGACGCUGCACCCCACGGUUUACGUUCUAGGGGGCGCCAAAGAUAACCCAAAAAUCCACAGUCUUAAAAGUCUUAUAACUUUUUAUUUUUGUCCUCACUGGCCUCCAAGUUCUCUAGGAUGAUGCAAUGUCCAGCCAUUGACACAUUUGUGAAGGAAUUUUUACUCGCCAAAAGAGCGCCCCCCCAUGGCAGGAGAAAAAAGUCCAUUUUUUCUUGUCUCCUAAGGCGAAAAUUCACACUAUUGACUGUCACGCCUUUACGCUUUGUCAUAUUGACACAAAAAUUGACACACACAUGUAUCUCAAUAAGAUCUACAAAAAAGUCAGUGCGGGCGUAUCUGUCAAAUGUACGGUUAAAGGGCUAUUUCGCAUUUUUUGCCGAUCCGCACACAUUGGAAUUUCGCUAACUCCUCCGAAGGCUUUCGUUCCAAAGGCACCACAUUUGCUCAGGCCAAUCUACACCCCAUGGCCAUUAAAAGUUGUACAAAUCAUGACGCUGUACCCCACGGUUUACGUUCUAGGGGGCGCCAAAGAUAACCCAAAAAUCCACAGUCUUAAAAGUCUUAUAACUUUUUAUUUUUGUCCUCACUGGCCUCCAAGUUCUCUAGGAUGAUGCAAUGUCCAGCCAUCAACACAUUUGUGAAGGAAUUUUUACUCGCCAAAAGAGCGCCCCCCCCCCCAUGGCAGGAGAAAAAAGUCCAUUUUUUCUUGUCUCCUAAGGAGAAAAUACACAUUGUUGACUGUCACGCCUUUACGCUUUGUCAAAAUGACACAAAAUUUGACACACACAUGUAUCUCAAUAAGAUCUACGAAAAAGUCAAUGCGAGCGUAUCUGUUCAAUGUACGGUUAAAGGGCUAUUUCGCAUUUUUUGCCGAUUCGCACACAUUGGAAUGUGGCUAACUCCUCCUAAAUCUUUUGUCCCAUCGGCUUCAAAUUUGCUCAGGUCAAUCUACACCCCAUGGCCAUUCAAAGUUGUACAAAUCAUGACGCUGCACCCCACAGUUUACGUUCUAGGGGGCGCCAAAGAGGACCCAAAUAUCCACAUUUUUAAAAGUCUUAUAACUUUUUAUUUUUGUCCUCACUGGCCUCCAAGUUUUCUAGGAUGAUGCAAUGUCCAGCCAUCAACACAUUUGUGAAGGAAUUUUUUCUCCCCAAAAGAGCGCCCCCCAUGGCAGGAGAAAAAGUCAAGUUUUUCCUGCCCAUCGCUCAAUGGCUCAAACGCAUCGCUCUCUCGGCAAAACCGAAAGGAGGAGCAACUUGCCAUUUGGAUAUAUACUAGCUGUGUUUGUGCCCUCACUCAUGGUCCAGACUUUUUUCAAAAAGGACACGUAGUUUUUCUGCAGCGAGCGUUUUGGUAGAGACUGUGCCUCCCAUUCAUUAUAAUGGGAAAUGACCAAAGACAGUUGCGCACACCAUCUUUGGACCCUGACUGUGACGUCACAGUUUGAGAUACAAAUGUUAUUUGACCUCUGACCUUUAGUGGAGACCCUAACCUUUCAACGCGCAAAAGCGUUGGACACACACUGGCGGGAAGAACCACAAACGCCGAUGAAGGAUAAGGGUCUUUGUAGUGAUGGGCGUUACCAGAGAGGGCGAUGGCCAGAGGAAGAGAAUGGGACGGGGAGGCGAUCGCGUUGGGGAGGGGGCGCGACACGGCUCGGGCCCGCCAGUGCCCCAACGGGGCCCUAGUUAUUAUUUUUCCUCCGCUUUAAACUGGAAAAUGGCCCACUUCCCACUGGCGAAAACUCAUGAAAUUUGGCAGGACGACCGGGCCUGGUGAAAAAUUCGAUAUUCUGAAGUCACCCAAACAAUAAAAUGCAAAAUGGCUCCAUAGCGCCCCCUAAGGUGAAAAUUCACACUAUUGACUGUCACGCCUGUACGCUUUGUCAUAUUGACACAGAAAUUGACACACACAUGUAUCUCAAUAAGAUCUACAAAAAAGUCAGUGCGGGCGUAUCUGUAAAAUGUACGGUUAAAGGGCUAUUUUGCAUUUUUUGCCGAUUCGCACAUAUUGGAAUUUCGCUAACUCCUCCGAAGGCUUUCGUUCCACCGGCACCACAUUUGCUCAGGCCAAUCUACACCCCAUGGCCAUUAAAAGUUAUUAAAAUCAUGACGCUGCACCCCACGGUUAAGGUUCUAGGGGGCGCCAAAGAUAACCCUAAAAUCCACAUAUUUAAAAGUCUUAUAACUUUUUAUUUUUGUCCACACUGGCCUCCAAGUUCUCUAGGAUGAUGCAAUGUCCAGCAAUUAACACAUUUGUGAAGGAAUUUUUACUCGCCAAAAGAGCGCCCCCCCAUGGCAGGAGAAAAAAGUCAAUUUUUUCUUGUCCCCUAAGACGAAAAUACACAUUGUUGAGUGUCAUGCCUGUACGCUUUGUCAUAUUGAAAAAAAAAUUUGACACACACGUGUAUCUCAAUAAGAUCUACGAAAAAGUCAAUGCGCGCGUAUCUGUAAAAUGUACGGUUAAAGGGUUAUUUCGCAUUUUUUGCCGAUCCGCACACAUUGGAAUUUCGCUAACUCCUCCGAAGGCUUUCGUUCCACCGGCACCACAUUUGCUCAGGCCAAUCUACACCCCAUGGCCAUUCAAAGUUGUACAAAUCAUGACGCUGCACCCCACGGUUUACGUUCUAGGGGGCGCCAAAGAUAACCCAAAAAUCCACAGUCUUAAAAGUCUUAUAACUUUUUAUUUUUGUCCACACUGGCCUCCAAGUUCUCUAGGAUGAUGCAAUGUCCAGCAAUUAACACAUUUGUGAAGGAAUUUUUACUCGCCAAAAGAGCGCCCCCCCAUGGCAGGAGAAAAAAGUCAAUUUUUUCUUGUCCCCUAAGACGAAAAUACACAUUGUUGAGUGUCAUGCCUGUACGCUUUGUCAUAUUGAAAAAAAAAUUUGACACACACGUGUAUCUCAAUAAGAUCUACGAAAAAGUCAAUGCGCGCGUAUCUGUAAAAUGUACGGCUAAAGGGCUAUUUUGCAUUUUUUGCCGAUUCGCACACAUUGGAAUGUGGCUAACUCCUCCUAAGGCUUUCGUCCCACUGACACCAAAUUUGCUCAGGCCAAUCUACACCCCAUGGCCAUUAAAAGUUGUAAAAAUCAUGCCGCUGCACCCCAUGGUUUACGUUCUAGGGGGCGCCAAAGAUGACCCAAAUAUCCACAUUCUUAAAAGUCGUUUUGGCCACUGCAGGAGUACAGAGUACUGCAGGAUACACACACACAGACACACACACACACAGACACACAAACACACGCACACAAACACACGCACACACACACACACACACACACAGACACACACACACACACUCAGAGUCUGUUUUUUAGCACCUGCAAAAACAUGCUAUUUACAUAUUUGACAAGAAUGCAGAGGCUUCCUUUUGCCCCUGAAAAAAAUCUAAUUUCUAACACAACUUGACUGCUCAUUUCUCCAAAAGACAACCAUGAAGCUCCAUCCAAACCUGAAGCAGGCAGUUGGUGCAUGUGUACAGUAACCUGAGGGGAGUGAGGUGAGUGCUUCUGAGGAGAACAUGAGCAGUGAAGAUUCACCUUGGAGCGAGAACAGGGACGUGCACAUGAUUAUACAGGGGCAGGGGCUCAAGUUUUUUCCAGUCGUUUAUACGAUAUGGAAAUUAAUGUGAAAUUAAAAAACAAAGUAUUAAUAGAAAGGUAAUGACUGUCCUGUGUAGGUGACAGUGAUAUCCAAUAGGCUAGGCACUCACGAGGCUGGCUGUGGCAAGUGUAAGUGAAAGCAACACGCACUGGCAGGAAGAACAGCAAACGCCGAUGAAGGAGAAGGGUCUUUGCAGUGAUGGGCGUUACCAGAGAGGACGAUGGCCAGAGGACGCGAAUGGGACGGGGAGGCAGCGCGUUGGGGGGGGGGCGCGACACAGCUCGGGCCCGCCAGUGCCCCAACGGGGCCCUAGUUAGGGCCCGAGCGUAGCUGCUAAGCAGCUGCGAGAGCCCUAUUAUUCCUGAUGGAUUCUUCUUAGGGCCCGAGCGUAGCUGCUAAGCAGCUGCGAGAGCCCUAUUAUUCCUGAUGGAUUCUUCUUUAGGGCCCGAGCGUAGCUGCUAAGCAGCUGCGAGAGCCCUAUUAUUCCUGAUGGAUUCUUCUUUCUUCUUCUUCUUCUUAUUAUUUUUCUGCCCCUUUGAACUGGAAAAUGGCCCACUUCCCACUGGUGAAAAGUCAUGAAAUUUGGCAGGACGACCGGGCCUGGUGAAAAAUUCGAUAUUCUGAAGUCGCCCAAAAAAUCAAAUGCAAAAUGGCUCCAUAGCGCCCCCUAAGGUGAAAAAUUCACAUGAUUGAGUGUCACGCCUGUACGCUUUGUCAAAAUGACACAAAAUUUGACACACACGUGUAUCUCAAUAAGAUCUACAAAAAAGUCAGUGCGGGCGUAUCUGUCAAAUGUACGGUUAAAGGGCUAUUUCGCAUUUUUUGCCGAUCCGCACACAUUGGAAUUUCGCUAACUCCUCCGAAGGCUUUCGUUCCACCGGCACCAAAUUUGCUCAGGCCAAUCUACACCCCAUGGCCAUUAAAAGUUGUACAAAUCAUGACGCUGCAUCCCACGGUUUACGUUCUAGGGGGCGCCAAAGAUAACCCAGAAAUCCACAUUCUUAAAAGUCGUAUAACUUUUUAUUUUUGUCCUCACUGGCCUCCAAGUUUUCUAGGAUGAUGCAAUGUCCAGCCAUCAACACAUUUGUGAAGGAAUUUUUACUCCCCAAAAGAGCGCCCCCCCAUGGCAGGAGAAAAAAGUCCAUUUUUUCUUGUCUCCUAAGGCGAAAAUUCACACUAUUGACUGUCACGCCUUUACGCUUUGUCAUAUUGACACAAAAAUUGACACACACAUGUAUCUCAAUAAGAUCUACAAAAAAGUCAGUGCGGGCGUAUCUGUCAAAUGUACGGUGAAAGGGCUAUUUCGCAUUUUUUGCCGAUCCGCACACAUUGGAAUUUCGCUAACUCCUCCGAAGGCUUUCGUUCCAAAGGCACCACAUUUGCUGAGGCCAAUCUACACCCCAUGGCCAUUAAACGUUGUACAAAUCAUGACGCUGCACCCCACGGUUUACGUUCUAGGGGGCGCCAAAGAUAACCCAAAAAUCCACAGUCUUAAAAGUCUUAUAACUUUUUAUUUUUGUCCUCACUGGCCUCCAAGUUCUCUAGGAUGAUGCAAUGUCCAGCCAUCAACACAUUUGUGAAGGAAUUUUUACUCGCCAAAAGAGCGCCCCCAUGGCAGGAGAAAAAAGUCCAUUUUUUCUUGUCUCCUAAGGCAAAAAUACACAUUGUUGACUGUCACGCCUUUACGCUUUGUCAAAAUGACACAAAAUUUGACACACACAUGUAUCUCAAUAAGAUCUACAAAAAAGUCAGUGCGGGCGUAUCUGUCAAAUGUACGGUUAAAGGGUUAUUUCGCAUUUUUUGCCGAUCCGCACACAUUGGAAUUUCGCUAACUCCUCCUAAAUCUUUUGUCCCAUCGGCUUCAAAUUUGCUCAGGUCAAUCUACACCCCAUGGCCAUUCAAAGUUGUACAAAUCAUGACGCUGCACCCCACAGUUUACGUUCUAGGGGGCGCCAAAGAGGACCCAAAUAUCCACAUUUUUAAAAGUCUUAUAACUUUUUAUUUUUGUCCUCACUGGCCUCCAAGUUUUCUAGGAUGAUGCAAUGUCCAGCCAUCAACACAUUUGUGAAGGAAUUUUUCUCCCCAAAAGAGCGCCCCCCCAUGGCAGGAGAAAAAGUCAAGUUUUUCCUGCCCAUCGCUCAAUGGCUCAAACGCAUCGCUCUCUCUGCAAAACCGAAAGGAGGAGCAACUUGCCAUUUGGAUAUAUACUAGCUGUGUUAGUGCCCUCACUCAUGGUCCAGACUUUUUUCAAAUAGGACAUGUAGUUUGUCUGCAGCGAAUGUUUUGGUAGAAACUGCGCCUCCCAUUCAUUAUAAUGGGAAAUGACCACAGACAAGUGCGCACACCAUCUUUGGACCUUGAGUGUGACGCGAUCGGGAGGGGGAGGCGGUCGCGCUGGGGGCGGCGCGACGCGGCUCGGGCCCGACAGUGCCCCACCGGGGCCCUAGUUCUUCUUCUUCUUCUUAUUAUUUUUCUGCCCCUUUGAACUGGAAAAUGGCCCACUUCCCACUGGUGAAAAGUCAUGAAAUUUGGCAGGACGACCGGGCCUGGUGAAAAAUUCGAUAUUCUGAAGUCGCCCAAAAGAUCAAAUGCAAAAUGGCUCCAUAGCGCCCCCUAAGGUGAAAAAUUCACAUGAUUGAGUGUCACGCCUGUACGCUUUGUCAAAAUGACACAAAAAUUGACACACACGUGUAUCUCAAUAAGAUCUACAAAAAAGUCAGUGCGGGCGUAUCUGUCAAAUGUACGGUUAAAGGGCUAUUUCGCAUUUUUUGCCGAUCCGCACACAUUGGAAUUUCGCUAACUCCUCCGAAGGCUUUCGUUCCACCGGCACCAAAUUUGCUCAGGCCAAUCUACACCCCAUGGCCAUUAAAAGUUGUACAAAUCAUGACGCUGCAUCCCACGGUUUACGUUCUAGGGGGCGCCAAAGAUAACCCAGAAAUCCACAUUCUUAAAAGUCGUAUAACUUUUUAUUUUUGUCCUCACUGGCCUCCAAGUUUUCUAGGAUGAUGCAAUGUCCAGCCAUCAACACAUUUGUGAAGGAAUUUUUACUCCCCAAAAGAGCGCCCCCCCAUGGCAGGAGAAAAAAGUCCAUUUUUUCUUGUCUCCUAAGGCGAAAAUUCACACUAUUGACUGUCACGCCUUUACGCUUUGUCAUAUUGACACAAAAAUUGACACACACAUGUAUCUCAAUAAGAUCUACAAAAAAGUCAGUGCGGGCGUAUCUGUCAAAUGUACGGUGAAAGGGCUAUUUCGCAUUUUUUGCCGAUCCGCACACAUUGGAAUUUCGCUAACUCCUCCGAAGGCUUUCGUUCCAAAGGCACCACAUUUGCUGAGGCCAAUCUACACCCCAUGGCCAUUAAAAGUUGUACAAAUCAUGACGCUGCACCCCACGGUUUACGUUCUAGGGGGCGCCAAAGAUAACCCAAAAAUCCACAGUCUUAAAAGUCUUAUAACUUUUUAUUUUUGUCCUCACUGGCCUCCAAGUUCUCUAGGAUGAUGCAAUGUCCAGCCAUCAACACAUUUGUGAAGGAAUUUUUACUCGCCAAAAGAGCGCCCCCCCAUGGCAGGAGAAAAAAGUCCAUUUUUUCUUGUCUCCUAAGGCAAAAAUACACAUUGUUGACUGUCACGCCUUUACGCUUUGUCAAAAUGACACAAAAUUUGACACACACAUGUAUCUCAAUAAGAUCUACAAAAAAGUCAGUGCGGGCGUAUCUGUCAAAUGUACGGUUAAAGGGUUAUUUCGCAUUUUUUGCCGAUCCGCACACAUUGGAAUUUCGCUAACUCCUCCUAAAUCUUUUGUCCCAUCGGCUUCAAAUUUGCUCAGGCCAAUCUACACCCCAUGGCCAUUCAAAGUUGUACAAAUCAUGACGCUGCACCCCACAGUUUACGUUCUAGGGGGCGCCAAAGAGGACCCAAAUAUCCACAUUUUUAAAAGUCUUAUAACUUUUUAUUUUUGUCCUCACUGGCCUCCAAGUUUUCUAGGAUGAUGCAAUGUCCAGCCAUCAACACAUUUGUGAAGGAAUUUUUUCUCCCCAAAAGAGCUCCCCCCCAUGGCAGGAGAAAAAGUCAAGUUUUUCCUGCCCAUCGCUCAAUGGCUCAAACGCAUCGCUCUCUCUGCAAAACCGAGAGGAGGAGCAACUUGCCAUUUGGAUAUAUACUAGCUGUGUUUGUGCCCUCACUCAUGGUCCAGACUUUUUUCAAAUAGGACAUGUAGUUUGUCUGCAGCGAGCGUUUUGGUAGAAACUGCGCCUCCCAUUCAUUAUAAUGGGAAAUGACCACAGACAAGUGCGCACACCAUCUUUGGACCUUGAGUGUGACGCGAUCGGGAGGGGGAGGCGGUCGCGCUGGGGGCGGCGCGACGCGGCUCGGGCCCGACAGUGCCCCACCGGGGCCCUAGUUUCUUCUUCUUCUUAUUAUUAUUUUUCUGCCCCUUUGAACUGGAAAAUGGCCCACUUCCCACUGGUGAAAAGUCAUGAAAUUUGGCAGGACGACCGGGCCUGGUGAAAAAUUCGAUAUUCUGAAGUCGCCCAAAAAAUCAAAUGCAAAAUGGCUCCAUAGCGCCCCCUAAGGUGAAAAAUUAACAUGAUUGAGUGUCACGCCUGUACGCUUUGUCAAAAUGACACAAAAUUUGACACACACGUGUAUCUCAAUAAGAUCUACAAAAAAGUCAGUGCGGGCGUAUCUGUCAAAUGUACGGUUAAAGGUUUAUUUCGCAUUUUUUGCCGAUCCGCACACAUUGGAAUUUCGCUAACUCCUCCAAAGGUUUUCGUUCCACCGGCACCACAUUUGCUCAGGCCAAUCUACACCCCAUGGCCAAUAAAAGUUGUACAAAUCAUGACGCUGCACCCCACGGUUUACGUUCUAGGGGGCGCCAAAGAUAACCCAAAAAUCCACAGUCUUAAAAGUCUUAUAACUUUUUAUUUUUGUCCUCACUGGCCUCCAAGUUCUCUAGGAUGAUGCAAUGUCCAGCCAUCAACACAUUUGUGAAGGAAUUUUUACUCGCCAAAAGAGCGCCCCCCCAUGGCAGGAGAAAAAUGUCCAUUUUUUCUUGUCUCCUAAGGCGAAAAUACACAUUGUUGACUGUCACGCCUUUACGCUUUGUCAAAAUGACACAAAAUUUGACACACACAUGUAUCUCAAUAAGAUCUACGAAAAAGUCAAUGCGAGCGUAUCUGUUCAAUGUACGGUUAAAGGGCUAUUUCGCAUUUUUUGCCGAUUCGCACACAUUGGAAUGUGGCUAACUCCUCCUAAAGCUUUUGUCCCAUCGGCUCCAAAUUUGCUCAGGUCAAUCUACACCCCAUGGCCAUUCAAAGUUGUACAAAUCAUGACGCUGCACCCCACAGUUUACGUUCUAGGGGGUGCCAAAGAGGACCCAAAUAUCCACAUUUUUAAAAGUCUUAUAACUUUUUAUUUUUGUCCUCACUGGCCUCCAAGUUUUCUAGGAUGAUGCAAUGUCCAGCCAUCAACACAUUUGUGAAGGAAUUUUUUCUCCCCAAAAGAGCGCCCCCCCAUGGCAGGAGAAAAAGUCAAGUUUUUCCUGCCCAUCGCUCAAUGGCUCAAAAGCAUCGCUCUCUCGGCAAAACCGAAAGGAGGAGCAACUUGCCAUUUGGAUAUAUACUAGCUGUGUUUGUGCCCUCACUCAUGGUCCAGACUUUUUUCAAAAAGGACAUGGAGUUUGUCUGCAGCGAGCGUUUUGGUAGAAACUGCACCUCCCAUUCAUUAUAAUGGUAAAUGACCACAGACAAGUGCGCACACCAUCUUUGGACCUUGAGUGUGACGCGAUCAAGAGGGGUAGGCGGUCGCGCUGGGGGCGGCGCGACACGGCUCGGGCCCGCCAGUGCCCCAACGGGGCCCUAGUUAUUUUUCCUCCCCUUUGAACUGGAAAAUGGCCCACUUCCCACUGGCGAAAACUCAUGAAAUUUGGCAGGACGACCGGGCCUGGUGAAAAAUUUGAUAUUCCGAAGUCGCCCAAACAAGAAAAUGCAAAAUGGCUCCAUAGCGCCCCCUAAGGUGAAAAUUCACACUAUUGACUGUCACGCCUGUACGCUUUGUCAAAAUGACACAAAAAUUGACACACACAUGUAUCUCAAUAAGAUCUACAAAAAAGUCAGUGCGGGCGUAUCUGUCAAAUGUACGGUUAAAGGGUUAUUUCGCAUUUUUUGCCGAUCCGCACACAUUGGAAUUUCGCUAACUCCUCCGAAGGCUUUCGUUCCACCGGCACCACAUUUGCUCAGGCCAAUCUACACCCCAUGGCCAUUAAAAGUUAUUAAAAUCAUGACGCUGCACCCCACGGUUAAGGUUCUAGGGGGCGCCAAAGAUAACCCUAAAAUCCACAUAUUUAAAAGUCUUAUAACUUUUUAUUUUUGUCCUCACUGGCCUCCAAGUUUUCUAGGAUGAUGCAAUGUCCAGCCAUCAACACAUUUGUGAAGGAAUUUUUACUCCCCAAAAGAGCGCCCCCCCAUGGCAGGAGAAAAAAGUCCAUUUUUUCUUGUCCCCUAAGGUGAAAAUACACAUUGUUGAGUGUAACACCUGUACGCUUUGGCAAAAUGACACAAAAAUUGACACACACAUGUAUCUCAAUAAGAUCUACGAAAAAGUCAAUGCGCGCGUAUCUGUCAAAUGUACGGUUAAAGGGUUAUUCCGCAUUUUUUGCCGAUCCGCACACAUUGGAAUUUCGCUAACUCCUCCGAAGGCUUUCGUUCCACCGGCACCACAUUUGCUCAGGCCAAUCUACACCCCAUGGCCAUUAAAAGUUAUUCAAAUCAUGACGCUGCACCCCACGGUUUAGGUUCUAGGGGGAGCCAAAGAUAACCGUAAAAUCCACAUAUUUAAAAGUCUUAUAACUUUUUAUUUUUGUCCCCACUGGCCUCCAAGUUUUCUAGGAUGAUGCAAUGUCCAGCCAUCAACACAUUUGUGAAGGAAUUUUUACUCGGCAAAAGAGCGCCCCCCCAUGGCAGGAGAAAAAAGUCAAUUUUUUCUUGUCCACUAAGG